CCUACGGGUGGCAGCAGUGAGGAAUAUUGGUCAAUGGUCGGGAGACUGAACCAGCCAAGCCGCGUGAGGGAUGAAGGUACAGAGUAUCGUAAACCUCUUUUGUCAGGGAACAAAGGCGGGGACGGGUCCCCGGAUGAGUGUACCUGAAGAAAAAGCAUCGGCUAACUCCGUGCCAGCAGCCGCGGUAAUACGGGGGAUGCGAGCGUUAUCCGGUUUUAUGGGGGUUAAAGGGUGCGCAGGCGGUCUGUAAAGUCAGCGGUAAAAGCCCGGGGCUCAACCCCGGACCGCCGUUGAAACUGGCAGUCUUGAGUUGGAGAGAAGGAUGCGGAAUGAGCGGUGUAGCGGUGAAAUGCAUAGAUAUCGCGCAGAACUCCGAUUGCGAAGGCAGCAUGCCGGCUCCACACUGACGCUGAGGCACGAAAGCGUGGGUAUCGAACAGGAUUAGAUACCCCUGUAGUC
rnacentral:rRNA from 1 species